GAUUAAAAUUUUUAUCCAAUUCUACUGUUAAAAACUAGCGUGGCUGACAGAAUAGCUAAAUAGUUACACAUGGCAUGACAUGUGUACUUCCUUCUGACAUAUAGGGACUAAUUUUUAAUAGUAGAAAUGAAUGUAACUUUUAAUA
rfam:Gossypium raimondii Chr01_contig_102, whole genome shotgun sequence.